rnacentral:rRNA from 1 species
UACGAAGGGGGCUAGCGUUGUUCGGAAUUACUGCGCGUAAAGCGCACGUAGGCGGAUAUUUAAGUCGGGGGUGAAAUCCCGGGGCUCAACCCCGGAACUGCCUUCGAUACUGGGUAUCUUGAGUUCGGAAGAGGUGAGUGGAAUUGCGAGUGUAGAGGUGAAAUUCGUAGAUAUUCGCAGGAACACCAGUGGCGAAGGCGGCUCACUGGUCCGAUACUGACGCUGAGGUGCGAAAGCGUGGGGAGCAAACAGG